GUGCAGCAGUCGAGAAAACUUCACACUGUGCGAAAGCACGAUGAGGGAAUCCCAAGUGCUUGCACGUAAGUGUAAGCUGUUUCUCUGUUUAAAACGCAGAGAGAGUAAGGGCUGGGUAAGACGGGUGCCAGCCGCCGCGGUAAUACCUGCAGCUCAAGUGGUGACCGUUAUUAUUGGGCCUAAAACGUCCGUAGCCGGUUUAAUAAAUGCCUGGGUAAAUCGUGUAGCUUAACUAUACGAAUUCCGGGUAGACUGUUAAACUCGAGACCGGGAGAAGUUAGAGGUACUCCUGGGGUAGAGGUGAAAUUCUGUAAUCCUAGGGGACCACCAGUGGCGAAGGCGUCUAACUAGAACGGGUCUGACGGUGAGGGACGAAGCCCUGGGGCGCAAACGGGAUUAGAUACCCCCGUAGUU
rnacentral:rRNA from 1 species